AACACUUCAACAUGUGAUUUCUUAUAUGCAUGCAUAAGCAUGGAGAAGAUUAGCAUGGCCCCUACACAAGUAUGAUGCACACAAAUCGAGAAAUGGUCCAAUCUUUU